UUCGGCGGUCAUGGCGGAGGGGUUAUACCUGGUCUCGUUUCGAUCCCAGAAGUGAAGUCCUCCUGCGUUUUUGAUUGUACUUUAGACGGGAUGUCUAUGGGAACUCUUCAACGCCGCCGGCC
rfam:Methanobacterium congolense isolate Buetzberg genome assembly, chromosome: I